AGUCAAUGAACUUGAUAUAAGUGCUUGUUUUGAAAACAAUUUAAAAAAGAUUAAACCUUUUAUUGACUU
rnacentral:tRNA from 1 species